UACGUAGGGGGCGAGCGUUGUCCGGAAUCACUGGGCGUAAAGCGCGCGUAGGCGGCCAUGCACAUCCGCGGUGAAAGCCCUGUGCUCAACGCAGGGAGGACCGGGGCGAUGGCGUGGCUGGAGGGUCGUAGAGGCAGGUGGAAGUCCCGCAGUAGUGGUGAAAUGCGUAGAGAGCGGGAGGAACACCCGUGGCGAAGGCGGCCUGCUGGGCGAUGCCUGACGCUGAGGCGCGAAAGCUAGGGGAGCGAACGGA
rnacentral:rRNA from 1 species